rnacentral:tRNA from 1 species
GGCUCCGUAGCUCAAGUGAAUAGAGCAUCUGACUUCGGAUCAGAGGGUUGUGGGUUUGAGUCCCGCCGGAGUCA